GAUGAACGCUAGCGGCAGGCUUAACGCAUGCAAGUCGAGGGGUAUAGUAGCAAUACUAGAGACCGGCGCACGGGUGCGUAACGCGUAUGCAAUCUACCUUUCACAGAGGGAUAGCCCAGAGAAAUUUGGAUUAAUACCUCAUAGUAUAGUAUCUUGGCAUCAAGGAACUAUUAAAGUCACAACGGUGAAAGAUGAGCAUGCGUCCCAUUAGUUAGUUGGUAAGGUAACGGCUUACCAAGACUACGAUGGGUAGGGGUCCUGAGAGGGAGAUCCCCCGCACUGGUACUGAGACACGGACCAGACUCCUACGGGAGGCAGCAGUGAGGAAUAUUGGACAAUGGGCGCAAGCCUGAUCCAGCCAUGCCGCGUGCAGGAUGACGGUCCUAUGGAUUGUAAACUGCUUUUGUACAGGAAGAAACACCCCGACGUGUCGGGACUUGACGGUACUGUAAGAAUAAGGAUCGGCUAACUCCGUGCCAGCAGCCGCCGUAA
rnacentral:rRNA from 1 species